AUUUUAUCGAUCAUUUCAAACCACUCGAAACGUCUCUCGUCUCAAGCAUACGUGGAGAGUGGAGAUAGCCGGAGCCAACGAAACAAAACAAAAAAAAGGGAAAAAAGAUGUAACGUCAUCGAACGGACCGAACAAUUUUGUGAGCUAAAAAUUUUUUUUAGGACAAAAAGCAAACGUUCCGACUGAUCACGACGUCACAGUGUAUAAUAUAAUGUUGAUGCAGAAUCAGAUUGACUGAUUCGAUUCUACAGAUAUCAAGAAGAAAUACAUAGUUCCGUGAUGCCGUCGUUUGGCUAAUUGGUGUGAUAACUUUUAAAAAAACGCAUUGUCGCGAUCCUUAAGCAGUAUUGUGUACUAUGGUUUCUCUUGGUGUGAUGCAAAAUGUCUGAAACUGCAGUUCUGCUGGAUAAUCAGAUAGAUAUUAUAUUGCCAAAUGAGAAUCUGCUUUAUGA
rnacentral:lncRNA from 1 species